ACCAAAAAGCACCAGCAAACCUUUCCCUCUGACCCAUAUGUACAUUCCUCUUACCCCCAUUUUACUACCUCUACCCAUUGGUACAGGCCUCUGACCCAUUGGUACAGGCCUCUGAUGAUCUUUAUACCGUAGAGAUAAUAUGUUUAGAAAUGGCAUAUGCCAACUAUUUGACCCAUUGGUACAGGCCUCUGACCCAUUGGUACAGACCUCUGACCCAUUGGUACAGACCUCUGAUGAUCUUUAUACCGUAGAGAUAAUAUGUUUAGAAAUGGCAUAUGCCAACUCUUUGUCACUGGAUUAAAGUGAAUGAUACCACUCAAGUUCAUACACUCAUAUUCAUCUCCAAACAGACAUGACGUAUAUAAUAGUCGGCUGGGCAAAAGGACCAGGUGAUGAUUAGCUGGACAAACUGCCUGACGAUGGAGAAAUCCCAAAUGGCACCCUAUUCCCUAUGUAGUGCACUCAUUAUUAUUUUUUUUAUAUCAGGGCCCAUAGUGCUCCUAUAGCGCUCUGGUCAAAAGUAAUGAGCUUUAUAGGGGAAUAGGGGGUGCUAUUUUGGACAGAGCAACGAUGCUCUGACGGGUGGAUGAACAGAGAACAGCAAUAGAGCAGAAUGAGAAAUGUUCCUCAAAGCAUAAUGGAAACAGAGGCACUACAUCAUGUUCCACGUGCAAAUCCUUCUUCAGAAACGUUUAAAACGUUUAAAAAAUAAAAAAUAAACGUUUUAUCCGAUCCCCAGUGUACUAGAAAAAGGUUAAGCUUGUUUUCAUUGACAUUAUUCUUCUGUUCACAAGGCAAAAGGACCGUUCUGUCUGUUUCCUCAUAUUCGGGUUGGAAUUAGAAUUCAUUAUUAUUAUUAUAUUAUUUCUAUUGUCAUUUCCAAUAUAUUCACAAUCCUCUCUAGCUGAAUAAAUAGCUCAAGGUACAACACUUUGAAAAAAAUCUAUCUAUGUGAUGAUGAUGGUUAAAUUCAAGUAAUGUAGAAGCUGGCCCUGUAUCAGUGUUGUUAUUGGAGGAAGCUGGCCCUGUAUCAGUGUUGUUAUUGGGGGAAGCUGGCCCUGUAUCAGUGUUGUUAUUGGGGGAAGCUGGCCCUGUAUCAGUGUUGUUAUUGGGGGAAGCUGGUCCUGUAUCAGUGUUGUUAUUGGGGGAAAUGUUUGCAGUGUUGUUAUAGGGGGAAGCUGGCCCUGUAUCAGUGUUGUUAUUGGGGGAAGCUGGUCCUGUAUCAGUGUUGUUAUUGGGGGAAGCUGGCCCUGUAUCAGUGUUGUUAUUGGGGGAAGCUGGCCCUGUAUCAGUGUUGUUAUAGGGGGGAACAUGUAUCAGUGUUGUUAUUUGGGGGGUAGCACUAUUCACUAUCCAGAGGAAGGAAGGGUGGGGUGGUCAUAGGUCAUAGGUCAUACAGUUAGAGGAACUGAUAAUAAAAGGUGCUGUGUGCAGAAGUUGCACUAUAACUACUUUAGAAAUAUAAAUGUCUUUGUAAAUAAAUAAAUACAUGCAUAAAUAAAUAAAUGAUAAUGUUGUUAAAUAUAUAAAUAUAACCUCAACUUAAUAAAAUAAAAAAAUCUGACUCGGAUAUUAAUUAAGAUUAAAUUUGGAGGAUUUUCAUAAAUGAUGUAUGUCAGAGCUAGUGUAGAUCGUCUCGUCUACUGAGAGUAGAUACAGAGAUGUAGCUGAACCAUCAUGUGUUUCUUUCUACUAGAAAACCAGUGUGAACGAUUGAUCGAUGCCAACCCUUCUCUCGUCGCCAGGCUGUGGAUGCAUCCCAACUGGCACACGACUGUCUGCAUAGUUCACUGCAUUUGACCAGAGCAACUAUGAAAGAGAUUUCAUAGGACAUUUUCUUUUUUUUUUCUUUUUUUUCCCCUGAUGGAAUAAAUGUGUUAUUCAAUAAGCUCAGUGUGUUGCUGAUAAAUACCAUACAGUACAUCAUAAUGCAAGUCUAUAAAAUAACAAACUGGUAACUACCCCUCUCCCCGUCUCUCUUCCUCCGUUCUCUCGGCUCGGAACAUUCUGGUAAAGUAAGGAGGUUUGGGCUCAGUCCCAAAUGAUACCUUAUUCCCUACUUAGUGUACUACUUUAGACCAGAGCCUGUACCCUAUUCCCUAUGUAGUGCACUACUUUUGACCAGAGCCCUAUAAGCCCUUCUUACAGUAGCUAUGACCAGCCCUAUAGGCCCUUCUUACAGUAGCUAUGACCAGCCCUGUAAGCCCUUCUUACAGUAGCUAUGACCAGCCCUAUAGGCCCUUCUUACAGUAGCUAUGACCAGCCCUAUAGGCCCUUCUUACAGUAGCUAUGACCAGCCCUAUAGGGUCAUUCACUACAAGGCAGCUAUGACUCAGCCUUACAGUGGCCAAUGUCUUACAGCAGCUAGGAC
ensembl:lncRNA